AAUUCUUGAUUUUUGCCAAAUUUUGGAUUUCGUUUUAAUCACAUCUAAUCGACCCCAAAUUUCAUGGAGAUCAUGAAUAUCUGGUUUAUUUUGUCGGCAGCCUGAUGGUUGAGGCGCUAUCGUCUACUUCCGGUCUACUUCCGGAAAAUUUGCAUAAAACUAGCAAGUGAGCUUUAUUCUCUGUACAAUUCUUAAGACUCCAUGCCAUGUUAAGUAAACAGAAAUGGUCUUUUUGAUGACUUUUGUGACUUUUUUUACUAUCUAAGGCAGGUCCUUUAGACAGUGGGUUUUGGACGUGUCAAAUAGAUGGCGUGAAACAAUAUUGUGUUGAUAUGUGCUUAUGGCGGCUCGUUGUCAACAGUUCAGCACAGCUAUUUUCUUCAAAAAUUACCAAUGAAUUCGUUGGUAAAUUGGAUAUAUUUUGUGUGCAAUUUGUUGGGCAUGUGUUCUUUUCCGUUUAUGUGUUUAAUAACCUAAAUAUUUCUCAUUCAUUUCCAGGAGAAAAUGUGAAAGGGGCAUGCAGCCUGCUGUCAACCAUUGUGUUGUAAAUCCUGGGAUCCUACUGAAUGUGUCAUCCAAAUCACAGAGGAUUCAUCAUAAUUAUCGACUGAUUUUAUUAGACUUGCUAGAUCACCAACCCCAGCAUGGCCAUCUUCUAGAGAACCUUGGAUAACUGAUUGGUAUUUUAGUGUGUUUCUAAUUUUGCAUGACAGACUUUAUGAGAAGUCAAUGUCCUUUGAAGAAAAAGGGCAAUAUUACAGUCAACAAGGUCCUUUAUUUGGUAACCAUUGGCUGCUACCCUUGAAUAUCCCUUUUUACUUCCUGAAACAGGCCCUCUUGAUUUGAGAUGUUCAUUCUGCCAACAGGGUAACUCCUUCGCUACUUAUCAAGGACUUCAUCCAUUGGUGAAAACUGAUAAGAAAAAGCUGUAAUUCAAGACUGAUGGUUGUCAGAUGUCUAAGCCGGAAGUCUACUAGGGUUAAUCGCUCUCGUAAUAACUGUUUCUCU